rnacentral:ncRNA from 1 species
AAAACGGCCCUUUUCAGGGCCACUCCUAUCCUUACCAGCAAGUAAAGU